rnacentral:lncRNA from 1 species
GUUUUAGCAUUCUUUGCCUCCAUUUUACCCAACACCCAGUUUGCACAGUACAUAUUUGUGUGGUUAUGGGGGAAAGUUGACUUCUGUUGGUUCAAAUAAUUUUCUUUUACUUAAGGAGUAUACUUUACCACUUGGAAGCCAUAACAUUCUUUCAGCCAAGAAUUGGUGACCCAUAAAAACUACUUUUAAUUCAUGUUAAACAUACCUAGUAUGAAAUCCUAGCUUAAGUCAGUAUUACAUUUUUUUCUAUAUGCUAGGUAGUGUUUACGUCAUUUCUUUUUAACAUUAAUCUUUCUACCCUUCUUUAGAUACGGAAAUUACUUAAGUAGACUUCCCCAAACUUUGCAUACCUUCACCUCUCCUUCCCUACUCCUCCCACACAUUUACUUGGAGGCAUCACUUAAGCUCAAAGAUUGGGGAAAGAAUUUUCUAACCUUCAAGGCUAUCUCUUCAUGAUUAAUCCAUUACCUAAACAUAAUUUACUUUACUCUUCAAGGGGAGUAGGUUAUGGAUUUUGAAAGGACUGCAGCCAAUAACAGUUACUCUCUCAGCCUUUGAGUGAUUGCUUCUUUCUUCUAGUGACUGCCUCAAGUCCACUGUGUUCAUCGAAAUUCCAGAAUAAACAGUAAUUCAUACUAAUUAGCUCAAACACUUUAACCCAGACCUGACACCCUUUUAUCCUAUUGCUUCCUUAGAAUCUUUCAGGGCAAGUCUGAUCCCUAUUAAAAAAUCC